rnacentral:rRNA from 1 species
UACGUAGGGCGCAAGCGUUGUCCGGAAUUAUUGGGCGUAAAGAGCUCGUAGGCGGCUUGUCACGUCGAUUGUGAAAGCCCCGGAGGCUUAACCUCGGGUCUGCAGUCGAUACGGGCUAGCUAGAGUGUGGUAGGGGAGAUCGGAAUUCCUGGUGUAGCGGUGAAAUGCGCAGAUAUCAGGAGGAACACCGAUGGCGAAGGCAGCUCGCUGGGACGGUACUGACGCUGAGACGCGAAAGCGUGGGGAGCAAACAGG